AUGGGUCACUGUGAUUGCAGGCACCAAGGAGGAGGGCAGCCUGACCACCUGCAUGAGCUGGGGCAGCUGCUCCUUAGGAUAGGAACAGCCUGGGCACAGCUGGUGGGAUGGGAUGGGAUGGGGAGUUUCUUCUCCACAGCAGAGCCAGCAGCAGGCUGUGCAGGGGGUGCUACCGAAAUCACAGGGGCUGCAGGGUUGGAAGAUGGCCCCAGCAGGCCCCUCCUGAAUGGGGCACUGCGCUGUGUAAGGGCAGAUGCAGUGCCACUGCUUCCUGCUCCUCACCUCCCAGCCACUUCCAGCAGCACUGGUGGGUGUCCCACCAGGAAAUCCCUCCAGAAUUGUUGCUGGCAGGGAACUGCAUCUGAGCGACCAAAGGGAAGACCAAAGAACCAAGGGCAGACAUCCCAAGGCCGGUGUUUUCCACAGGGGCGAUGUGGAGAAGCAGGCCCCGGUGUGGGCACAGCCAGAGAAGAAAUCUAUGGAAGCCAACCCACACGGUGUUGGGGACCUUGCUGGGAGAGGGCAGCAAGCACCCUGGGGAGCCGUCCUUCUGCUGCAAGGAGGCUGCAGGUUUGCCCAUCUACAUGUCCCAUGACUGUUUGGAAACAGAGAAACAGUGGGCAAAACGAGCUGCUGAGUGCUUCAUUGGUCUGGGCUGAGCCUCCCAGCAGGUCAAAUUCAGGAGUGUGA
rnacentral:lncRNA from 1 species